rnacentral:rRNA from 1 species
AUACCCUUCAGAUGGGGAUAGCUAUUAGAAAUAGGUAGAUAAUACCGAAUACGAGACACAGGGGUUAGAGAUCUGUGAGGAAAGGAGCUAAGGCUCCGACUGAAGGAAUGGCCGUGCGGCCCAUUAGCUAGUUGGUGAGGUAAGAGCCCACCAAGGCGAUGAUGGGUAUCCGGCCUUAGAGGGUGAACGGACACAUUGGGACCUGAGAUACGGCCCAGACUCCGUACGGGAGGCAGCAGCUAAGAAUAUUCCGCAAUGGACGAAAGUCUGACGGAGCGACGCCGCGUGGAUGAAAAGAAGGCCGGAAGGUUGUAAAUCCUUUUGAAACUGAAGAAUAAGCGUUGUAGGGAAUGACAGCGUGGUGACAGUAGGUUUUGAAUAAGCAACGGCUAAUUACGUGCCAGCAGCUGC